AGGUGAUUAUAGCGAUGGGGCUCACCUCUUACCAUUCCGAACAGAGAAGUUAAGCCCAUUAGCGCCGAUGGUACUGCCACAGGUGGGAGAGUAGGUCGUUGCCUUCCU
rnacentral:rRNA from 1 species